rnacentral:rRNA from 1 species
GACGAACGCUGGCGGCGUGCUUAACACAUGCAAGUCGAACGGAAAGGCCCUGCUUUUGUGGGGUGCUCGAGUGGCGAACGGGUGAGUAACACGUGAGUAACCUGCCCUUGACUUUGGGAUAACUUCAGGAAACUGGGGCUAAUACCGGAUAGGAGCUCCUGCUGCAUGGUGGGGGUUGGAAAGUUUCGGCGGUUGGGGAUGGACUCGCGGCUUAUCAGCUUGUUGGUGGGGUAGUGGCUUACCAAGGCUUUGACGGGUAGCCGGCCUGAGAGGGUGACCGGCGACAUUGGGACUGAGAUACGGACCAGACUGCUACGGGAGGCAGCAGUCGGGAGUAUUGCACAAUGGGCGGAAGCCAGAGACAGCAACGCCGCGUGCGGGAUGACCUCCUUCGGGUUGUAAACCGCUGUCGCCUGUGACGAAGCGUGAGUGACGGUAAUUGGUAAAGAAGCACCGGCUAACUACGUG